rnacentral:rRNA from 1 species
UACAGAGGUCUCAAGCGUUGUUCGGAUUCAUUGGGCGUAAAGGGUGCGUAGGCGGCGCGGUAAGUCGGAUGUGAAAGCCCCUGGCUCAACUGGGGAAGUGCACCCGAAACUGAGUGGCUUGAGUACUAAAGAGGGUCGCGGAAUUCCCGGUGUAGAGGUGAAAUUCGUAGAUAUCGGGAGGAACACCGGUGGCGAAGGCGGCGACCUGGGUAGAUACUGACGCUGAGGCGCGAAAGCGUGGGGAGCAAACAGG